rnacentral:rRNA from 1 species
GAUGAACGCUGGCGGCGUGCCUAAUACAUGCAAGUCGAGCGAACAGAUAAGGAGCUUGCUCCUUUGACGUUAGCGGCGGACGGGUGAGUAAAACGUGGGUAACCUACCUAUAAGACUGGGAUAACUUCGGGAAAACGGAGCUAAUACCGGAUAAUAUUUCGAACCGCAUGGUUCGAUAGUGAAAGAUGGUUUUGCUAUCACUUAUAGAUGGACCCGCGCCGUAUUAGCUAGUUGGUAAGGUAACGGCUUACCAAGGCGACGAUACGUAGCCGACCUGAGAGGGUGAUCGGCCACACUGGAACUGAGACACGGUCCAGACUCCUACGGGAGGCAGCAGUAGGGAAUCUUCCGCAAUGGGCGAAAGCCUGACGGAGCAACGCCGCGUGAGUGAUGAAGGUCUUCGGAUCGUAAAACUCUGUUAUUAGGGAAGAACAUACGUGUAAGUAACUGUGCACGUCUUGACGGUACCUAAUCAGAAAGCCACGGCUAACUACGUG